GGCUAGGGGUCAAAUCAGAGCUGCAGCCCCCGGCCUACACCACAGCUCACAGCAACGCCAGAUCCGUACGUAACCCGUUGAGCAAAGGCCAGGGAUUGAACCCACAUCCUUGUGGAUGCUCGUUGGAUUUGUUUCCUCCGAGCCAUGAUGGGAACUCCCUGGAAAAGUAAUUAUUAAGAGCAGCGAGGAUAAGGAAGCUGGUUAGGAAGCUGGUUGUGCCCAGACUCAACCUUGAUGAGAGAAGUUGAUAAGUGAUCACUAAUGGGAGAUGCCUAAUUCAGGGGAGGUUAUUGUGCACUGAGACUUGGACUGUAGACCUGGAGGUGUAGGCAGUUUGUUUGUCCAAGUCUGUGGCUGGUGGAGUGUCUGGUUCUUUUCCACUUGGGGGAGUUCUCCGGCAGCCCUAAGCGUGGGCCGUCUGCUGCUUCCCCCGCCGUGGGUGAUGAGAAGGUGACUGGAUUGGCCUGGGCCUCUCUCCACUAGAGCGACACCUCGUGGGCGUGAGGGGUAUGGGGGGGAACGUGCUCUCCCCUGACUGUGAAGGUCGCGCAGUGGGUGCAGCGGAGAGAGGCUUUUGACUCCUUGUUUUUAAAACUAAUCGUUUGGGGGGACUCCUGAAGAAACGAGUGCGGGGUUGAUGCACUGUGUAAAAUUUGAUGAUGGCUUUUUUUUUUUUUUUUAGAGUCAGGUCAGCCACAGUGCAGUCAGGGAGUCCCGACCCCCUGCAAGUAGAAAUAGAGGUGGGUUCAAAAGGAAACUAGUGAUUGUCCUGCUGGUGGCGGCCUGUGUGAGUCAGUCACUGGUGACUUGCCUCUGUCUCUUUCCCCCGCAGCAGACUGGCCAUGGUGGUAGGUGUUGCCUCUGCAGGUGGGAUAGGUGAACUUUUAUGCCCACAUGAGUGAGAGUCAAAAGAGUAAAGCUGGGAAGGCUUCCAGAAAGAAGGGAGAAAGAGGCUGUUAGCUUCUCCUCCAGCUGUUUGCGCCAUAAACAGUGACUGCUCUUUGGAGGCUGUGAAAUUUUUGUGCAGCUUUGCUGUGUCUGAUGUCUAGUCACAGUCACCCAGCCCCUGCUCCUUCCACUACAUGGCAGCUGUCAUUGUCCAUCUCAGUAGAACGUGAGCUCUGCCUAAAGCCUGAAGGCUGGUGUUCCCUCCCCACCCCACGUGGGAGCUCCGACCUGGAGGUGAAGGUGGCUGGCAGCUGGGGAGGCUUCUUAUGCGCUGGAGCCUGCAUCAGUUCAGUCUUCACCCAGCCCUGGGGAGGAGGGACUUUGUUCCCAGGCUAGGGGUCGCAUCCAAGCUACAGCUGCCAGCCUACACCACAGCCACAGCCACUCCAGAUCAGAGUGCAGCUGUGACCUACACCACAGCCCUGGCAACGCCGGGUCCUUAACCUACAGAGGGAGGCCAAGGAUCGAACCCGCAACCUCAUGGUUCCUCGUUGGAUUCGUUUCCGCUGCACCACGACGGGACCUGCGGAAAGGCCGUUCCUAAGGUGUCUGAAGAACAGACAGCACGGAGUCAGUGAACAGCCGAACCGCACGUGUGCAACGAGCGACGUGAUAACCGUGCCGGCCAGGUUCCUCCAGCAGGACCGCGGCCGCCUUUUUCAGGGAGGCUUUUUCUCUGCUGCCUUUGUAUGACGGUUGCUUUUCCUGAUUUUCUGGAGGAACAGGAGGGAUUUGCCAUGAACUGCUAUCUGGUUUUAUAUAGUUUUUGUAUAGCUUAAUAGCACCUGGUUCCUUUCAUAUCAGAACAUAUAGUUUUAAGUGUCUAGACUUAUUAUUUGAUGGUUUUAUUUUAAUCAGUUGGGUUUUGGGGGUUUUUUUUUUGGCUUUUUGGACCUGUACUCGGGGCAUGUGGAGGGUCCCAGGCUACGGGUUGAAUCAGAGCUGCAACCACCAGCCUACACCAGAGCCACAGCAACGCCAGAUCUGAGCCACGUCUGCGACCUACACUACAGCCCUGGCAACGCCGGAUCCUUAACCCACUGAGCGAGGCCAGGGAUCGAACCCGCAACCUCGUGGUUCCCAGUCAGAUUCGUUAACCACUGCGCCCCGACAGGAACUCCUCAAUCAGUUUCUUAGUUCACGAGUCCAUUGGUGGAUUAGACAGUCUUUUUGUAAAGAAAUAAUGCUUGACAAGACUAAAGGUUCAUCUGCUUAACUCACGCUUGAGUCUGGGGAGUCGUAUAAGGAAUAUAGUUAUCUGGUUGGUCUGGUAUGGCCUGGUUGUCUGGUUAAUCUGUGUGGCCAGCCUUCCUAGGAGGGUUUACAUGGACAUUAUGAAAGGAAGAAGCAUUUGAAUUGGGGAAGGGCAACAAAGACAAGAGCACUUGGGCCUCAGUAGCGGGAAGUUGUUGUGUCUCCUUGAAUAUACGUACGUGAACGACUUCAGCUGAAGCGCGCUCCUUCAGGUCAGCGGAAGGCCGUGUCUGUGUGUCAGACUUCCCAGGCGUGGUCAUUGUUUUCAGGGUAUGGGUAUAGUUUUCUCUGUGUUCAGAAAAUGUGCAUCUGGUGUUACUGAUUUUUUUUUAAGUUGACGUGGGACAUGGUAUCUGAUAACUUGAAUUAUUUUCAGUCUGUUGUCUACAUUCCUUUGUAGAAUUCCCGUUUCCUUAAUGUUUAUAUCUGUGCCACGGAAAAGGGCCUUCAGGAAAGGCUCUUCUGGGGGAGCCCUCACGAUGGGCCAGCCGUCUUGCAGUUUACCUUAGGGGCGGGUCUGCAAUUAGAAAAUCGGACAUGGAAGGGUUUUCUUAGGACUCGUGCGUUCCUGCGGUGUCCUGUUUGUUGAUCGAGGACAGGUUCAUUGUGGUGUCUCUGAAAUCAGGCUGUCCUGGUCUUCGUGAUAUAGUCAGUUAACAUUUAUGGUAGGUCAGGUUAUACUCUUUGUUUUGUUUUGUUUUUAAUUCCUUAAUUUUGAAAAUCUGUUAUUUUGGAGUUCCUGCUGUGGGUCAAGAAUCUGACUGCAGUGGCUCACAUUUGAUCCCUGGCCCAACACAAGUUGAAGGAUCCAGCAUUGCUGCCGCUGCAGUGUAGAUUGCAGGUGUGGCUCAGAUCCAGUCCCUGGCCCAGGAACUUCCAUGUGCCAAGGGUGUAGCCAUUUAAAAAAAAAAAAA
rnacentral:lncRNA from 1 species